rnacentral:rRNA from 1 species
CAGCAGCCACGGGAAUACGUAGGGUGCGAGCGUUAAUCGGAAUUACUGGGCGUAAAGCGUGCGCAGGCGGUUGUGUAAGACAGGUGUGAAAUCCCCGGGCUUAACCUGGGAACUGCACUUGUGACUGCACAGCUAGAGUAUGGCAGAGGGGGGUGGAAUUCCACGUGUAGCAGUGAAAUGCGUAGAGAUGUGGAGGAACACCGAUGGCGAAGGCAGCCCCCUGGGCCAAUACUGACGCUCAUGCACGAAAGCGUGGGGAGCAAACAGGAUUAGAUACCCGCGUAGUCCCUGUCUCUUAUAC